CUACGGGGCGCACCAGUGAGGAAUAUUGCACAAUGGGGGGAACCCUGAUGCAGCAACGCCGCGUGGAGGAUGACGCAUUUCGGUGUGUAAACUCCUUUUAUAUGUCAAGAAAAUGACGGUAGCAUAUGAAUAAGCACCGGCUAACUCCGUGCCAGCAGCCGCGGUAAUAGGAGGGUGCAAGCGUUACUCGGAAUCACUGGGCGUAAAGGACGCGUAGGCGGGUUGGAAAGUCAGGUGUGAAAUCCUACAGCUUAACUGUAGAACUGCACUUGAAACUUCUAAUCUAGAGUAUGGGAGGGGGAGAUGGAAUUAGUGGUGUAGGGGUAAAAUCCGUAGAUAUCACUAGGAAUACCUAAAGCGAAGGCGAUCUCCUGGAACAUUACCGACGCUAAGGCGUGAAAGCGUGGGGAGCAAACAGGAUUAGAUACCCCUGUAGUC
rnacentral:rRNA from 1 species